rnacentral:lncRNA from 7 species
AAAAGCAACCUUGCAGGAAUGGAGGAAUCUGCCAGAGCUGUGCCCCUGCUUGCCACAGGAGCUGCGCGGGAGGAGAAGAACGUGGGCCAAAAGGAAUGGAGGAAUCUGUCCAGAGCUGUGCCCCUGCUUGCCACAGGAGCUGCGCGGGAGGAGAAGAACGUGGGCCAAAAGGUAAGAGGAGCUCCUUUGGGUUCUGGGCUUGAAGCAAAGCUGAGAAGCCAUGCCCGGGAGGAGGUGUGGGUAGCUACAGGCCACCUUGCUAUCUCCCCAAGAGAUGAGGUGUGUGGGCUAGGCACCGGGCAGGAGUGCUGGCCAGAAGCAAGCAUCUCUGUGGAGGAAGGCAAAGGGCGGAGGAGGUUCAAGGGUAGCUACCGGGCAUGGCCUUGCUCAGCAAGGGGAGGAAAAGCCUGAAGGGCACGAGAAGGGGAUAGAGAAGGGCAGGCAGUAGGCGUGAAGCUGCGAGCAGAGUAGAGAGCAACUUGGCAGAGCAGCAAGCAGAGUAGGCAAGUGUUGAGGUUUGGCGUGAGUAGCAGCAAAAGCCCAGAGCAUCAAGAAGCAGGAAGUGAGGAGAAGGUAAGUGAAGGGCAGGCAAGGUAAUGGGAGGCAAAGGCAAGGGGAAAGGGGGGGUAAGGGAGAAAGAAGGGAUGGGGAUGGGGAGGGGAUGGGUGAAGAGCAGAGCGGAGGGAAGGGCUGAGGGGAGGGCUGAAGGCAAACCUAUGAUGAAAAAAGAAAAGAAAAAAUAAGAACAAAAAAUAUGAAAAAAGAGAAAAAAAGAAAAGAAAAUAAGAAAAAGAGAAAAAAGAAAAGAAAAAAGAAAAAAAUGAACAAAAAAGAGUAAAAAGAGAAAAAAAUGAAAAAAGAGAAAAAAGAGAAAAGAAAAAAAGAACAUGAACAAAAAAGAGAAAAAAGAGAAAAGAUAAAAAAAGAAAAAGAAAAGAAAAGAAAAGAAAAAAGAAAAAGAAAAAAGAAAACAGAAAAAUAUGAAAAAAAGAAAAAAAAAAAAAAAAAAAAAAAAUAGAUGAAAAAAGAAAAAACAAAGGAAAAACGAAUAAUGACAAGAGAAGAAAGGUAAAGAGAAAAGAAGAAAAAAGCCAAGUCAAAAAGUAAAGAAUAACUCGAAGGAAGGAGUGGAUGGCAAGAAAUACAGAGAAAGCAGUGCAUAGCACAGCAAGAGCAAAGCAAGGCAAAAUAGCAGCCAAAGCCACGAGAAUCAAGAAGUCAGUGAAGAGCAGGAAAGGUAAGUUUCCCUUAAAGCAAGGGGGAAUGGUAGUGGAAGGGAGAAAAGAGAGGGGAGGGGAGGGGAAGUGAAGGAGUGGGGGGAGAGGGGGAGGAGCAGUGGGGAAAGCGG